rnacentral:rRNA from 1 species
UGGGGAAUUUUGGACAAUGGGCGAAAGCCUGAUCCAGCAAUGCCGCGUGUGUGAAGAAGGCCUUCGGGUUGUAAAGCACUUUUGUCCGGAAAGAAAUCCUUGGCUCUAAUACAGUCGGGGGAUGACGGUACCGGAAGAAUAAGCACCGGCUAACUACGUGCCAGCAGCCGCGGUAAUACGUAGGGUGCAAGCGUUAAUCGGAAUUACUGGGCGUAAAGCGUGCGCAGGCGGUUUGCUAAGACCGAUGUGAAAUCCCCGGGCUCAACCUGGGAACUGCAUUGGUGACUGGCAGGCUAGAGUAUGGCAGAGGGGGGUAGAAUUCCACGUGUAGCAGUGAAAAUGCGUAGAGAUGUGGAGGAAUACCGAUGGCGAAGGCAGCCCCCUGGGCCAAAUACUGACGCUCAUGCACGAAAAGCGUGGGGAGCAAACAGGAUUAGAUACCCUGGUAGUCCACGCCCUAAAACGAUGUCAACUAGUUGUUGGGGAUUCAUUUCCUUAGUAACGUAGCUAACGCGUGAAGUUGACCGCCUGGGGAGUACGGUCGC